rnacentral:rRNA from 1 species
UACGAAGGGGGCGAGCGUUGUUCGGAUUUACUGGGCGUAAAGGGCUCGUAGGCGGUUUGUCGCGUCGGGAGUGAAAAUCCAGGGCUUAACUCUGGACUGGCUUCCGAUACGGGCAGACUAGAGGUAUGCAGGGGAGAACGGAAUUCCUGGUGUAGCGGUGAAAUGCGCAGAUAUCAGGAGGAACACCGGUGGCGAAGGCGGGUCUCUGGGCAACAACUGACGCUGAGGAGCGAAAGCGUGGGGAGCGAACAGG